rnacentral:rRNA from 1 species
UACGGAGGGUGCAAGCGUUAUCCGGAUUCACUGGGUUUAAAGGGUGCGUAGGUGGGUUGGUAAGUCAGUGGUGAAAUCUCCGUGCUUAACAUGGAAACUGCCAUUGAUACUACUGAUCUUGAAUUUUCAGGAGGUAAGCGGAAUAUGUCACGUAGCGGUGAAAUGCUUAGAUAUGACAUAGAACACCAAUUGCGAAGGCAGCUUACUACAGGAAUAUUGACACUGAGGCACGAAAGCGUGGGGAGCGAACAGG